GGUUCUACCCGAAGGCGCUGCGCUAACCGCAAGGAGGCAGGCGACCACGGUAGGGUCAGCGACUGGGGUGAAGUCGUAACAAGGUAGCCGUAGGGGAACCUGCGGCUGGAUCACCUCCUUUCUAAGG
rnacentral:rRNA from 4 species